rnacentral:rRNA from 1 species
UACGUAGGGAGGAAGCGUUGUCCGGAAUCAUUGGGCGUAAAGCGCGCGUAGGCGGCCCUGUAAGUCCGUUGUGAAAGUCAAAGGCUCAACCUUUGAAAGCCGAUGGAUACUGCAGGGCUAGAGUCCGGAAGAGGCGAGUGGAAUUCCUGGUGUAGCGGUGGAAUGCGCAGAUAUCAGGAGGAACACCAAUAGCGAAGGCAGCUCGCUGGGACGGUACUGACGCUAAGGCGCGAAAGCGUGGGGAGCGAACAGG